AUUGAAGGAUAGAAUGAAAGAAUUAAUGAAAUAUAUACUGUCUCAAUUAUAAUUAAUUAAUUUAAAUUUUUAGUUAAAAUGCUAAAUUUUAAUUAUGGGACGAUAAGACCCUAUAGAAUUUUAUAUUAAUUUUAUAAUAUAAAUUAGUUAUUUAAUUAAUAUUAUAAAAUUAAUAUUUAAUUGGGAGGAUUUAUAAAUUUAAUAAACUUUAUAUUAAUUUAAAACUUUGAUUUAAGAAAAUAUAAUUUGAUAUAAUAAUAAUAAUAAAAAAAAUAAAUUACCUUAGGGAUAACAGCGUAAUAUCUUUUUAGAGUUCAAAUUAAUAAAGAUGUUUGCGACCUCGAUGUUGAAUUAAGAUAAAUUUUAGGUGUAGAAAUUUAAAAAUUAAGUCUGUUCGACUUUUAAAAUCUUACAUGAUUUGAGUUC
rnacentral:rRNA from 1 species